GCCGGAAAAGCCUCGCCGGUGUCGGAGGUAAGCCUCCUCCCCUUCCUCUCUUCUCCCCCUUCCUUUCCAUGCCAGUGUGCAUGCUCGCCGGCGAUUGGAGUCGCCGGAUUUUGUUGCGGAAGAACCUCUAUAUUUUGCUCGUUUUUCGUUGAUUUCCGACGUCGAUGGUCGCCGCCGACCAUCGAUUUUGGCCCUCUUCUCAUCGUUGGGUCACUC
rnacentral:lncRNA from 1 species